rnacentral:lncRNA from 1 species
AGUUUUGGAUAUGAAUUAAUUAAUGUCUCUCUGUAAUAUUAAUUCAUUUCAAAUAAUUGCUUUAAAAAUAUAUGUACUAUAUUCUCUUUACGUCCAUUUAAGGUACAACAUUAUAUGUUAAAAUGCAGAAAAUACAUAGGUGUACUGUCAUCAUUGUUAUAGAUAUUAUGGUUGAUAUUUCAUACCAGAGUGUAAUAGAAAUACAAUGUAUCAGUGAAAAGAACAGUUGGUAAUUUACUUUCUAUUAAAAUAUAGUAUAAUGAUGAGCAAUGCUAAGUAAAGCAAUUUAUUUCCUGUUGUGUAGACUUUAAGGACAAAGCACUUACAUGAAAGUAACUCAAUUGUGAUAUGAAAAUAUAUUUCUAAAUAUCCAUCUGUGCCAUAUGAAAGGUAUAGCAUUUUAUUACAAAAUCCAAAUAUUAUAUGGUCAUGGGCAAAUACAUGUUUUUUCUUUAUAUGGUCAACACUCGAAGUUCCAGUAUGUAUUUUACUUGACUGCUUAUUCAGUUUCAAAGGCAGUUUUUAAUAUGAAGGUAUACCUUAUUAAAGGAUAGGAUUUUCAUGGGGAAAUCCCAGUCCAUUCAGUUUGCAAUUCUUUUUUUCUAACACUAUGGACUGUAUUUUCUAAAAAGUAUUAUAGUUCUUAGGUCAAAUCUGGACCGUUGAGCACCCACAACUCCUGUUCAAGGUAACUGGAGUUACAGGUUCUCAAAGACAUUCAAGACAACCCCUUGAAAGCCAGCAACAUGACUUUCUGGCCAUCCUUCCAUGGAACUCUCAAUGACAUCAGUGGGAAUUCUGUACACAGAGAAGACUUGUGAUAUGAAGUAUAAAAGAAAAAGGUGUUAAGGCAUAAUAUCCUCAAUUAAGUGUUUAUACUUAAAAGGUGCUGAAAAAGUACCAGAGGAAACAUUUACCCAGGAACAGGUUUCCUUGAAAAGAUCAUCAUCAUCAUAUCUUCAGGACUCAACACCAGAAAAGAGGGAGUCCUUACGCAUUGUGAAAGGAAUUUCAGCUAACAAGCUUUAUACAACAAAAAAGAAUAAGCAAAGUAUACAUCUAAAACAAUCCCCUGAAAAUGUCAAAAAGUUGGUAUUUGGAAAUGAAAGUUUAUCACCAGUUUUAAGUUCACUUUCUUUGCCUAGUCUGACUCCAGUAACUAUGGACAAAGCUGUCACGAGUGGAAAAGACACAGAGGUUACUGAACCUGAGGUGGAAAUAUGUGAUAUUAGUGAGGCAGUGAAUGUUACGAAUUACCUUUCAGACAAACUCUCCAUUACCGCAGAACUGAAAGAUCUUACUAAAAAUAUGCAAAAUAAAGGAGAGGAAUCUGUACCUCCAUCUCAAUUAUACACUUCCAGUGGAAGCAGAGAACAGUCAUGGUGUGAAGAUCCCUGUGGCACCAUACAUGAAUCUGGUAUGUAAGUGUCUCUUAUGAAAAAGCACUUUCUUUGGAUAUCUGUAAAUAGUUAAUGAAAAACUUGUCUUAGAUACAGAAAUAUGGCCUGAUUCUUCAAGCCCUACAUGUGGAAAUGGAUCUCCUAUAAACUUUAUUUAGUAUUUUUUACCAGUAUAUUUGUCUUUUCAUAUAUUCUCAGUUUAUUCUGUUCCUAAAGUUAGUGUUAAUCUUUGUUGUUAUUGAUAGGAAGCUACUGUUAGAUGUGAAUGUUUUUCACUUAAGCAUUAGAAGCAUCAAUUGGGAGUCUGUUUAGGCACCCCCUAUAUAAACUGAGAAUUUAACUCAAAAAAGCCUCUAGAGGUCUGCCUUCAUGAAAAUAAUGGUAAGUGGAACUUUUUAGCACUCCCAGGAUUGCUGGACUGGGUAUGUGAGAAGACAAAUUUACAGGUAAGAGACUAAAUUGGCCCAUUUGGAGAAUGUGGUUGGGUAGAGGUGUGUGGUUAUACCUAUGGAUCCACAAUUCUGCCAUGGAGGCUAUUAUAUCCCUUGGAACCCCAUUGCCACACUUAAUUUAGGAGCCAGAUUUAAUGCUUUUUGUGAGAAUAGUCCCUUCAUCUUGAUUGAAUUAAGUAGUCGACCGUUCUCCAGAGGGUUUUUCUGCCCAUCAGUCUGUCAGGAGUAAGGAAUCUGCAGAAGCAAUUCCCAGUGGAGAAAGGAAGCAUACUUGUUUUAACAGAUGUUCUCCAAGUAUAUUAUGUCAGCAGACCCACACUAACUGUAUCAUCCAUCCUUUUCUGCUUCAUUGGAGUCCUUGCAUGGUAUAUGGCCUAAAGACACUGAAGGUGAUUGUGGCAACAGCCCCUUAUAUUGACAUGCACCAAACAUCCAGGGCUGUGCACAAGUCCUCUUGCAAAUGCAACAUUCAUUGAUUUCUCUAUAGCUCUGAAAUUAAAUAUGUUUGUCAUACUUUAAAGGGCCUACAGUUCAAGUGAAUCUCAAACGAAUGUACCACAGUGAUGCAGAAAGUGAUUCUGAUGAAGUGGAAAUGAAGAAGGAAGAAGAGAGAAAAACAAAGCUUCUCCCUAGAAAAUUAUUUAAAGCAGAUGAUGAUACUGUGUAUAAAGGUUAGCUGGAGCUAUAGUCAUACAAUAAGUGUAAACCAGAAAACUGCUUAAAGUAUUAACCAUGAACAAUAACAUUACAAUUCUAAUUAAAACCCUUAGGAUAGGGUGACCAGAUGUCCCAAUUUUAUACGGACAGUCCUGAUAUUUGAGGCUUUUUCUUAAAUAAGUGCCUAUUACCUCCCCGCCCCCCAGUCCUGAUUUUUCACACUUGCUAUCUGGUCACCCUACUUUAGGACAUCUUAAUAAGCUCCAUUUUUAUUGCAGACAUUUAAGAAAAGAGCAUUACCGGCUCUUCUCUGAGACAUUGAUACAGAAUGCUGUGGAAAAUUUUCUUUCCUUAACUAAUAACAUAAAUGUUCAAGAAACACAGCAGUCAACUUCUUAUCAUUCAGAUGAAUAAACAAACAGAAGUUUGAUCA